rfam:Gossypium raimondii chromosome 4, whole genome shotgun sequence.
CGUUAGCGCGAUGUCAGGGUACGCGCCAGGAAAUCGCGUCCACGUCCGCAGCUCGCAUUGACGUGGACGCGAUUUCCUGGCGCGUACCCUGACAUCGCGCUGACGU